GGUUAGCUCAGUGGUUAGAGCAUCUGCCUGCAGACCGAAGGGUCCCGGGUUCGAUUCCCGGCCG
rnacentral:tRNA from 1 species